AGGUUCAUCCAUGCUGUAGCCCAUAUCAGAACUUCAUUCCUUUUUAUGACAGAUAACAUCCAUAUUUUAUUUAUCCAGUUGUCAGUUGAUAGACAUUUGGCAGUUAUGCAUAAUUCAGCUCUGAAUAUUCAUGUGUUUUUGUGUGGACGUAUGUUUUCAUUUCUUUGGAGUAAUAUAUCUAGAGUAGAAUUGCUGGGUCAUAUGGCAACUCCAUUUUAACAUUUUGAGGACCUGCCGGAGGCACAUCAUAUAGUGCCUUUUUCAACUUUGUAUUAUGGAAGUUUCCUACCAUACUGAAAAUGAGAAAGCACCCUGUACCCAUCAUCCAGGUUCAACAACGAUCAACCUUUUGCCAGUCUUGUUUCACCUGCCUUCCCUCCGCCAUUGUUCCCCACUGAGUAGUUUGAAGCCAGUCCAUACACUGCACUUUAUGCCGUUAACUUGGCUGAGAGGUCAACAUUUCCUUUCAUCCCAAACCUUCAGGCCAAGUCUCCUAUACCCAUAUCCUUGUGUGGAUGGAAUUUGGGGACAGUGGAGGAAUUGGGGCAUAGUCUAGAGUGAGUCAGUGUGGGGUGGGAAAGGAAUGCUCCUGAGUGAAGCAAGUCUAGCUACAGGAUUUGCAAAAUGAAAAUGUGGAGCCCUUUGUUCAGAAAUUACUAAGAAGGUCAAGAUAACAACAGUAGAACAUCAAACUUAACGUAGACCGUGUACAACAGCACAAGUCAUGCGCCCAUGAGGCCAGCAAAAGGGCGCCCGAGCAGAACUGAGAACUGAUUGAUUGGCUGCAGGAAUUUUGAGCUUUGGGUGCCUAGGAGAGACACAAGCAUCCCUCACCCCCAAUCUCUGGAAAGGAGAGUUGGGUCUCUCAUGGCAUGUGGGACAGCGUUUAAGUCCGUUCCAUUGGAAUCUCCAAAAAUAAGAUGACCCCAGCUGACAUGUGGGUUAUAAGUACUUUUUUAAAAUAGCCAUUUGUCUUAAGCCUUCUUCCCUAAGAACCUGCGGUUGUUUUAUUUGGCCACACCAGUUUGUCCUGGACUCUGAGUGUACCGUGAUAUCACGGCAAAUGACAGGGCUGCAGGACAGAGGCCUGCUGGUGAGCAAGCAAUCCAGAGCAGUAGCAGGACCAGGGAUACCCAUUAGAGGCAGGUGGCCAUGGCAGACACUGGCAACCAUCAUGGCACCCAAUCCCUCCCAGCUCAGACAGAGCUCCAUUAUCCUUCUCAAAGGACAGCCUCCACCAAGCAAAUGAACCUUAUUUCUCGUGCUUAUCUAGACUCUCAACCCAAGAAUUCACCUAGAGAUUCAGAGCCUGCAGUUUGUGUUGGGAUGACACUGCAAGGAUGCACUUAGACUAACGAAACCUUGUCAUGAAGGGGAACGCAACAUGACUGAGAAGGAGGGAGAGAGUGGAAGAGAGGGACUCACUGAAGAGAGCAGAUAAGGACCUUGCAGCGCCUCCUGUUCUCUGUGGCAUGUUCAAUGAAUGAGUGAACAUUCAUUCAUUCGUUCAAUUAUUUGAGGACUUAUACAUAAGAGACUGAGUACACAGGCAUGAGUAAUAUAGUAGUCAACACGACAGACACAGUUCCUACCCGUAGGGGCAGGAGAGGCAAUCAUAAACCAAAGAGGAAGAGAACAUUUUACAUUUGAUUGAAAUAAUAUAACAACGGCAAAAAAACCCAACAACAGGUCUGAGUAAAUUCGGCUGGCAGCUUUGGGGUUUAUAGACAGUGGAUCUUAAAGCAAAGCCCAACACAGGAUUUUGGCAAUUCUCAGCAGAGUGAAUGUGGAAGCAGCACAACCAGGAGAAGGCUCUGGAGGAGGUACAUGGCUCAGGGUUUUAUUUUUGUUUCUUCACCUGCCAGCACUUUCUCCCCCCAACUUCCGUUAACGGACACGAUGCCCAGUGGGAAGAUGGCCGCUUACAGCACCCAAGCCUCAGCUAUAGUAAUUGGUCCAGGCAUAGACACGUGACUCAAAUACAACCAAUCACAGCAGCCCACUUCUGAGCUGAGCUGCAGUGAUUGGUCCAGGUGUGGUCAUGUGACCCAAGCAGGGCCAAUCCAGGAUUACCCUAACCACAGCUGGUGAGAAGGCUGCUUUUCCCACCCCCUCUCCAGCAUCCAGAGCUAUCUGUGACCACAGAGACUGAGGCCAGUAUGGAGGAAGGGAGAAAUGAGGAUUGGGAUGGCGGUAUGGGGUGGAGAGAGAGACUGGCGCUGCGUUCUGUCCCUGGAUCCAAGAGCAACUCAGCCUCUUUUGUUCUUCAUCAUAGCUACCUGAGAUCAGCUCUGGUUUCCGUAUGGUCCAAAGCAUCCCAAUUCAGGACUUGGGAACUGUUUUUCCCUCUUCACGGAUUGUGUGAAUCUAAAAGGGGUAGGCUAUCCUCAGAGCUCAUUCUCCCCUAGGUUUGCCUGCUGUACUUGGGAAUGAGAGAUUCCCCAGACACAUCUCCAUGCUCCCCCGCUCCAAUUAAUCUACCACUGAAUCAGAGCUAAACACUUAUUCUUGGACUUCAAGUCCUGCCUUCUUCCUGCUUGCUUGCUUCUCUCCGACCUCAUUCCCAACAUACACCCACCUCCCCUUCCCACCCUGCUCUCCACCAAGGAUGGAGCCUGCAGCUUGCUGUGGCCUCUGCUCCAAUGCCCACCACAUUAUAUUUGCAAUGAUUUACUUAUGACUGUUACCCCCCAUGACCUUGAGCCUGGGGACCUGCGUCUCACUCAUCUUUGCACCCCCAGCAGCUGGCACACAGCAGGUGGGAAGCAAAUGCGGGAGGGAGGGAGGGAAAGGAGGAGGAGGGGAGAAAGGGUCACUCCCUCCUACUGAGUCUGGCCAACAGAUGGAUCACUCAGAGGGUCAAGUUCUAUACUUGUUUCCUUCGCCAGAUACUCUUCCCUCAGGUGGACACACAGCUCGUGCUCCCAACCCCUUCAGGCCUCUAUUUCAGUGUCACCUGGGAACUGCAUUCUCCCAGUCCCCUUCUUGACCCCUGCCCCUCUUCCAUGCUUUCUUGUUCUCUUUCUUGUUCCCUUCCACCACCAUCAGUCUUUCUCCAUGUUCUAUUUAUUUUAUCUCCUCUCUCUCUCCCCCUCUCUCUCCCUCUCUCUCUCACUGAAAUGUCAACUCCAGGUGGGCAGCCAUCUUUGAUUUGUUCCCUGAUGUCUCCUCAGCACCUAGUAGAUGCUCAAUAAAUAUCUGUGGAAUGAAUGAAUUCACCAAAAACCACAGUCUUGCCAAAUUUGUUUCUCCUUAUGCACUUCAUGUGUUUUACAGGUGUCAGGUGAUGUAUUAGUUUCCUAGGGCAGCCAUAACAAAUUACUACAAACCGAGUGGCUUAAAACUAUAGAAAUCUAUUAUUUCAAAGUUCUGGAGGCUAGAAGUCCAAACUCUGGCAGGGCUAUACUCCUCCCAGGUGCUCCAGAGGAAAAUCCAUGCCUUGCCUCUUCCAGCUUCUGGUGGCUCCAGUGUUCCUUGACAUGUGGCUGCAUCACUCCAAUCUCUACUUCCAUCUUCCUACGUUCUUCUGUCUGUCUGUCUCUGCUUCUCUCAUACAAGGAUGCAUGUAACUGCCUUUAGUGCCCAUCCGAAUAAUCCAGGGUAAACUCCACCUCUCAAGACCCUUAACUUAAUCACAUCUUUUUCCAUAUAAGGAAACCUGUGAAGGUUCUGGGAGAGAAGUGGACAUAGCUUUUCUCUCUCUGGGGAUCGCCAUUCAGUCCACUGUAUGAUUGGCAUAAAGACCAGAAAAGCAAAGAUUCCCACCACCACUCCAUUGGCCUGACAGAUACGUAAUGAAAAAGAGUAUUAUUGUUGUAUUACAUUGCCCUGGUCAAAGGAAAUAGGGGAAAUAAAGGAGCCCCUUUGCAUUUUUUCUCUAACUCCAGUUUCACUUUUUAAAUGUAACCACCGUAUGCAGUCCGCAUAAUCUUCAUAGAUUUUCUAACCAUAGUCGAGAGCAUAUACUUUUUUGGCUCCUAACAUUAAGAAAAUUGGAGGGGCUGGGCGUUAUAAUAUAUCCUGAAGACAUGACAGCCCUCUGACCCACCACAAUCUUUCUAAUGACUUCUAGCAAUGCACCAUACUUAACCUGUCCCCCACUGGCCAGCAUUUCAGUUAACUCCAGGAUUUUGCAGUUGUAACAUACAUACUCUCUGGCAUGUGUCCCAGUAUCCCCAUCAGAUACAUUCCUAGAAGUGGAAUUUCUAGGUCAGAGGAUAUGUGCAUUUUUAACUUUCUACAGCUAUUGCCCAGUGCCCUUCACCAAGGUGGCAUCAUUCACAGGCCCAUCAACAAUGCACAAGUGAGGGUGUCUGUUUCCAACACCCUCGCCCCCCUUGGCAAGGAUGCAGCAUGUCAGGAGGAAGCAAAUCUCAAACUCAGGUAAGUGGACUUUCCAUGUGGACCUGGGUGAGGGUGGACACGGCCUCCAAAGUUGUCCCUGUGGCUUUCUGAGGUGCUAAGUCAUUCACAGUUCUCGUUUGGCUUUUAUAAACAAAGGCAGAGUUUGGGGAGUUGGGCCAGAACUGUGCAGCGGAUGCAUUGUGCAACUCAGUAUUUAUUUCUUUAGUGCGGUCAGAACUUAAAUAUGGUCAAAACAUAUUCUUCUUUUAAUUUACACAAACAAAUAUGUUCCCGGGCUGACACCUCCAGUGCCAAGUUUCUAGGGCAAAUGAAAUUCUACUGUGAGAGGAUAAACCACUAGAGAGAAGAUGAGGGUGGAAAAGUCGCCACCGUUUGCUUUGCACAUCCGAACUGGGCUGCUGAGAGGUGUUUCAGAACUGGGCUCUUGCCUUUUGGUCUCUUUCUGUCUUUGCCGCAGAUAAACUUGCCAGUAAUUUCAGUGCAUGAAACAUGGAACGUGUCGAGGCCAGAGGAUGGAAAACACUCCGGUUUUGAUAAAAGGAGGUCUGCUCGCCUUGGAAUCCUCCACCCUGCUAGUCAGCAGACGCAAAGAUUUAUCCAGAGAGGGGCUGAUGAAUUGAGAAAACAGAACUGAGGCCAAUGAUCUCAGUUCCCAGACCAGGGAUUGAACCCGGGCCAUGGCAGUGAAAACCCGGAAUCCUAACCACUAGGCCACAGGGAACUCCCUGGGAUGAACUUCUUAUUUUGAACACUGUCAAAUACAGGCGAAAGAGUCAAGCAUUUAUCCUUUCUGGUAUGAACCAUACUUUACAGUAACCAAAUGGCUGAUCAGGGGAAGUUUCUUUAUAGACAUAUUCCAGCUAACAAACAAAGACAGAAGGAUAGAAUUAGUAAGCCACCCUUUUCAACCUCUAAUGGAUCUAGACAGUGAUCAUCAAUGGCUACUAACAUCAUGAAGAGGGACAACCACACAUUAUGUGCCUUCAAAUAGAAAUACAAAACAGCCACUAGGAAGUAGUCAUACAAACACAAAAAACAAACAUGAAUCUAAGUGAACCUCUAGAUCUAACUACUGAUUUACAAGCAACAGAGUGGGCAGAGGAACACGUAUAACACCAGCACGGGGAUGCAAUAAGCAAAAUCCAGACCGGAACACUCUACAGAGCAACCAACCCAGUUUCCUCAACAAAUAAAUUGCAAGAGAAGAAAGAGGAAGGGAGGGAGAACCCGCAGAUUAAGAAAGGCGUAAGAGGCGUAUCAACCAGGCACAAUGUAUGAACCUUAUACGAAUCCUGAUUUUAACUGUAAAGAAAACAGUUAUGAGACAACCAGAAAAUUCUGAACACUGGAUAUUUGCUGAUAUUAAAGCAUUACUGUUAGUAGGUGUGAUGGUGGUAAAAAAAAAAUCCUUUUUCUUUUGGAGUCAUAAACGAAAAUAUUUGCAGAAGAAAUGGUUGAUGUCUGGAAUUUGCUUAGUAUCUGAGUAUCUGGGAUGAGGGAGGAGGGGAAGGGGGUAUAGAUGGAACAAGGUUGGCUGAGAGUUGGUGAUUAUUGAAGCUGGGUGACGGAUAGCUGGGGUUUAUGGUACCAUGUACUCUACUCUUGUGUGCACUUGUGUAUUGGUUUGACUUGCCCACCACUGCUGGCAUCUCUGGGCAAGCCUGGGUAGCAGGUUUGAGAUACAUCUCAGUGCGUGCAUGUGUGCACACCCUCUCCUGUCUCCAUGGCAACCACUGAGGUGAGAAAGCAGCAUCCAAAAGGUUCCUGUCCACAUGAGGAUCCGGCCAGGCUGCUGGUGUUGUGCUCGGCCCACCGUGGCUGCUCCCUUUGGAGAAUUCCUAGUCAGAUCUUCACAGUCCCACCCCCACACACCAGAUCUGCCUCCUUGCACCCCUUUGCUGUCACUCGUGCUCUCCCUGUGCACCCCCUGAGGAAGUAGAGACCAAUUAGUGGAGAGACAGGACCCUGAAUCAGAUCCAAGUUCAAUUUUUGAUGUCUCCACUUAAUGGCAGGACCUUUAACCUCCCUGAGUCUCAAUUUUCUCACCUGUAAAAUGGGUAUGAUGUGACCUCAACGAACUCAACAAAUCUUUAUUAUGGGGGGGGACAGUGGCAAAAAGGACCUAGUCUCCACCUUAUGGAACUAGACACCCGGAGGUAAAAGGCAAUCUUAAGAGUAUGUACUGUGAUAAAGUACAUGUUUAAAAAAAUUUUUUUUGAAAACUGGCAGUCACUACUUAUGAAAGCUCAUAACUCUAAAUCAUACUUUUCAUUAACCAGGAUAUCCACACUUUCCAGCUACUGACUAUCCUCUAUGCCAGACCUAUAGAAUAUUUUCACUUAACUGAGUGCUCAUAUUUCCAUGAAGUAAGUACUAUUAUCACUACGAUUUUAUGGAGGAGGAAACUAGGCAUUAGAGGUGAGAUAACUUGCCCACGGCUGCACCGUGGGUGCAUGGCCCUGUCUUCUUUGCUCGGCCCUCUGCAUUGAUUAAGCUCUGAAAUGCAGCAGCAGGGCUGGGAAACCAGAACUACCAGGAGGCCAAAAGCCCUCCAGGUCAAACCCCAUUUUGCAAAUGAGGAAGCAGUGGCCCCGAGAGGCCAAGUAACUUGUUCCAAGCCGCAAGCUGAAUUGGCUGCUUAACCUGUGUCCAGGCUGCUUGGGGAGAAGGUACAGGGAAGCCCCACGUGGUAAGGGAGGCUUAUUUCCCCAGUUCAUCCUGUCCCAGGGUAGGGUGACCAGUCAUCCUGGGGUUUCCCAGGACUGGGAACUUUAGGUGCUUAAAUCAGGGAAGUCCUGGGCCCACUGGGAUGAGUUGAUCACGCUGUCUCACAGCGAGGCAUCUAAAUGGAUGUUUUCUAGGACAUGAGAACCAGAACCAAGUCCCCACAGAAGUACUGGGGCUUCAUGCCUUAUAUAAUUAACUGAUUAUUAAUAUCUAGGCCCCCCCUGCCCCAGCCAGACUCUCCACCCACAGGGGUAGGGACCAGUAAUGUGAUAUCCACUUCUGUUCUACAGCCCCUGACUCAACGGUGACCCAUGAAUGACACUCAAUAAACAGUGAUCGAAUGGACCAACCAACACUAUCAUCACCUCUGACUAGGCCUCCAUCUGAAAUUGCAGAAACCCUCUAUAGCUGCCGUGACCUCCAGUUCCCAUUUCAGACAGGCUGGUAUCCAUGAUAUCACAUGAUAGAAGAUGAUUCCAGAAAAAGACUGGCCAAGAGGCUCCUGGACGGAGCUAUGGCAGACAAGACUGGGUGUGGUUUUUCUUUAAUUAUUGUACCUGUUUUGUCUGUUCUUUCUUGGCUCUGUUCACAUCCCCAUCCCAGCACCAGUGCAGGAAAACAAAACAAAAACAAAACAUUAUCGCAGAGUUUGAGACAAGAUGGCUGGCUGGUUCCCACUCUGCUUGUACUUAAUGCCAAAAAUGUUCAAGACUUGUCUUGGCCACAAAGGUAAUAAUAAAAUCAGGCAGUCUGGU